rnacentral:rRNA from 1 species
UACGUAGGGCGCAAGCGUUUAUCCGGAAUUAUUGGGCGUAAAGAGCUCGUAGGCGGUUUGUCGCGUCUGCCGUGAAAGUCCGGGGCUCAACUCCGGAUCUGCGGUGGGUACGGGCAGACUAGAGUGAUGUAGGGGGAGACUGGAAUUCCUGGUGUAGCGGUGAAAUGCGCAGAUAUCAGGAGGAACACCGAUGGCGAAGGCAGGUCUCUGGGCCACUACUGACGCUGAGAAGCGAAAGCGUGGGGGAGCGAACAGG